GACGUAGGGCGCGAGCGUUGUCCGGAUUUAUUGGGCGUAAAGAGCUCGUAGGCGGCUUGUUGCGUCGACUGUGAAAACCUGCGGCUCAACCGUGUGGUCUGCAGUCGAUACGGGCAGGCUGGAGUUCGGUAGGGGAGACUGGAAUUCCUGGUGUAGCGGUGAAAUGCGCAGAUAUCAGGAAGAACACCCGUGGCUAAGGCGGCUCUCUAGUACGGUACUGACGCUGAGACGCGAAAGCGUGGGGAGCGAACAGG
rnacentral:rRNA from 1 species